UGGGGACCCGGCGCGCGGCCAGGCCGCGGGACCCGGGGCCGCACUCCCGCCCAGGGCUCGGGCCCGCGUGGCGCGCGCCCACCGCCGGCCGCACGGGGAACUCCAAGCCGAGCGCAGAGUACGCUGCAGGGGCGCCCGGAGGAGCCGGCUCGCUGCCCGCAGGCCGGGGGCGGUUUCGGGAGGCUGGGGGCGCGUUCCAGCACAGAGUACCUCGCGGGCUGCGUGUGCACCACGGGCCGCGGGACCUCGGGCAGCCGCCUAGAGACGUGCAGUCGGGCGGCAGGACACUUAGUAGGACGGAGCAGUGCUCGGCGAGCCUUGAGGAGCUUGAGGCGCCCCCGGACCCCACCUGGUCGCCCCCUUAGUAUCCUGCCCUCUUUAAAGGAAAUGGCUCCUGCCUAGAAGGUCAGAUGGAUUCUUCGCGCUGUGACCCUUUCUCCUUGAAGGACCUACACCUCCUGUGAAGACCAUUUCGGACUUGACCUCCACCUGAGUGCAGACUUUGUUCAGAAGUACACGCAUUGCCUCCAGCCACCCCUACCAUGUUUGAUGGGGGAUUGGUUACUGCCAGAGCAUAUGAGCAUUUUAACCCAAUUUUAUUGCAGUCACCAAAAUUAGUUCGCCUCUGCCAAAAUUAACCCCCCUGCAGACAUAUCAAAAUACUACACUAAGCAGGGGUUUCAGGCUGGGUUUAAGAUAGAUGCAGCUGAUUAAAGGAGUGAACAUUUUCAACUGUCCCCACACACCCCCCAAAAAGUUGUCCAGUUCAUAUUUCCGUAAUGUCAGAGAAAUGAAUCUUUUGAAACCUACGUUUUGUCUAAUUUGUCAGUGACUUUUUAGUUAGUGAAAUGUUGGCUGAAUUCAGUUUCCCUUAAGCCCUCAGCUCUCAGCUAUGGUGGUAAUUGCCGCUAGCCUUUGAUCAGUGCUCAUAUGUGAUGUAAUAAUAACUACCAUUCAUGGAGCGCUUCUGUGCUAAGCGCUUUACAUGGAUUGUCUGAUUGAGUCCUCACAAUAACUGGGAGCUAUUACUUCUCCAUUUUACACAUGACGAAGUUGAGGCUAGAAGGAUUUAGUAAUUUGUCCUCAGACCACAAAGAGAUGGUUUUACAUCCCUAACUAGCUGCAUAGAAAGCUGGGAGCUGAACCAGCAUGCCAUACUGCCACCUACCUACAGCAGCGCUGACAGUUCUUCAGCUCAGCCCGCAAACCAGCCAGCAUCUGCCCUGUGCCCGGCAAUGAGCCCGCUCCAGCUGGGAAUGCCCAGGUCCUGGUCUAACUGAGAAGCUUGUAGCAGGGGAACUUUGAACCUGGCUGCCUGGGUAAACUUUUUUAAAUGAGCAAUAAGCUGAUAAGUGCUUCACACAGGUUAUCCUAAUCUGACAAGCAUAUACUUAGUUUAUAUUUAAUGUCCACAAAUGCAAAACUCACAUGCUUUGGGGUUGGAGAAACUGUGCUCUUGCCCUCUUUAGGUAGAAAAAGAAAUGACUUUUUCCAUCUAAACGCCCCAUGGACAAUGAAGAAGAAAAGUUUUUCCAAAACCACAAAGCAAUGCCUUCUAUUUCACUUGCACAUAAUUUCUCUGUGUCUAACUUAACCGCCUUAAAUUGAGGGCUGAAUUUUAAAAUCAUAAUCUCAAUUUCUACCAUUUGUGAUGAAUCUCAAUCUCGUGUUGCCCUUUCUUAUCUUAUUUAUAACUAGAAACUGCUGCGGCUCUGUAUUUCUAUCUCUAGAAAAUAUGGGAGGAACCUGUCCCUGUGUUUUCUUUUUUUUGUUUUGUUUUGUUUUGUUUUUUGAGGCGGAGUCUCGCUCUGUCGCCCAAGCUGGAGUGCAAUGGCGUGAUCUCGGCUCACUGCAAACCCCGCCUCCCAGGUUCAUGCCAUUCUCCUGCCUCAGCCUCCCGAGUAGCUGGGACUACAGGUGCCCGCCACCACGCCCAACUAAUUUUUUGUAUUUUUAAUAGAGACGGGGUUUCACCGUGUCAGCCAGGAUGGUCUCGAUCUCCUGACCUCGUGAUCCGCCCGCCUUGGCCUCCCAAAGUGCUGGGAUUACAGGCGUGAGCCACCGUGCCCGGCCUGUCCCUGUGUUUCCUACUCAGUCCUCCCUGUAUUUGUUUUCCACUUCAGCUAUUCCCUCCCACACCCUUCCAGACACACACACUCUCCCUAUAGCAAUGCUAAGAGUUCGAGGUACUUAGAUGUAAGUUUGCUCUCUGUAAAAUGCAACAUGAUUCUACAUCGGCUUCAUCCUGACCAUUCGCUCAUUCCAAGGGCCCAGACUGAAGCGCAGCAGAGCGGAGACUUUGUUUUGCUCCGUUGGUGGAGAACUUGGACCCCAGUACACAGAAUAGUGCCUGACACAAGGGGCUCAAAGGGUUUUUUGGAAUGAAUGGUACCUUAGUAUUGGGAUAGAUGAGUAAACAAUAUUGAGAUAAAUAUUACUAAAAUUGGGUGGAAAUCAACUGAAAUUGGUUUCAAAGAGUGAGAGGUGAAAAAGAUUAUUUUUCACUGUCAAUCCUUGCAGCCUGUCUCAUGUCAAUUAUACCCUGGCCAUACUUAGUCCAUAGAAGUUUGCUAGUCAGUCAUCUAAGGAGACAUAAAUAGAAAAGGGAAACAUGAACGAAUGUUGAGAAAAAGGGAAUUUGAGGGCCAAGUGACCUCAAGUUGAAUGUGAAUUUGAGAACACAAUUUUGUUUCUUGGAUCUCAUGCAUAACAUUUAAAUGAAAUUUAUCCAAUAUGAUUCAUCCUAUGCCUUGUACUCUUUAAUUUAAAUGAGAAAUAGAAGGAAAUGAGAAAGAGAAGCUUCAUGUGGGUAAUUCUGGUCCUGGAGAAGUGGGAGCCCCGCUCUAGAUUCUCAGGACCAGAAUCUACGAUGAGCAGCCCCGGAGCAAGGGCUCUGUCCCUGAGCCUGGACGACUUCUCCUGCGCGUUUCGCCCCAACACGCAGCAUCGCCACACCUCAGCGUCUAUCUGUACACUGGAAGUAAUAGUUACUACUUCAUGGGGUCUUCUGUGACACUGGCCAAGUCCCCAUCUGCAUACCCAUCCCCUCCCUGGGAUCCUGUGGACCCCGCUGCUCCAGGACCCACCAACCUCAUUCACUUCCUUUGGGAUCAGGUUGAAAAUCACACAGGAUGGAAAGAGAAGUGUUCUGCAGGCAACUUCUGCUCUCAGCCUGGCUGCAGAGCUCUCUCCUUGGGCAAAAGCCACAGCACCUGCUCUCUCCUUAGGGGCCAGGGAGUGAAGACAAAGGGAAAACACAGCAAGAAAGAAAGAAAUGUGUGACCUCAAAGACAAUCCAUCCAGACAUAUUUGUGUGUGGUAUCUACACAUUACAUCGCUGAAAAAUGAUGAAGCGUUUCCUGAGCUGUGAUACAUGUACUGUCAGAUCUCUUACAAAUAUUACAGUACCUAAAGUUUCCCCAGCCCUGCGCACACCUCCCGCAUCUCAGUCUGUACAGCCACAGCUCUAUCUGUCCUGUUGCCAAGGUGGCCCCCAAGUCCCCUGCACCCCACAGAGCAUCCCAGGGUAGCUGAGUCUUCCCUGAGCUCUGGGUCUCUGAGGCUGCAGUGAUGGCUGCUGGUUUGAGGUGGCCUCUGAGGCCUCCCUUCUGAAUUCUCCAUUUCUCUCUGACACAUGGUUCAGUCAGCUGUCUACUGGGGUAUAAAUUGCCAGCAAGUUAAGUGUUGAGCAAGGUACCCGGCCCAAAAGGUAAAUAAAUAAAUGUUUAUUUACUUUUCAAUAAAUAUUAGCUUCCUUCAGUCCUUUUCACUGCCUUACAAGCAAGGACAAGCUCUGGUGAGUUUAUACUGUGUCAGCUGAGCCGUGCGGGUCCCAUGCUUCCCAGAAUUCCUUCCCUGCAAGGUUCCAGGUCCAGUUGGCCGCAGAGAAAGUUGUGUGAGAUUUGGAAGGAGGAAGGCAAGUCGCCGUUUGCAGCGUCUUGUGGGGUUCCAGGUGCUGUGAAGCCCUCACACCUCCUUUACCUGAGGUCCCCUUGUCCCCACUGGGCCUCCCCCCGAAGCAUCCCCAGUCCCGGGUGAGGAAUGUGAGAAGGGCACCUGUGGAGAAGGGCACCCUCCUCGUCCUCAGGUCACCAGUAUCCCUGAGGUUGAAGGAGUGUGAGACGGCCCAGGCUGCCCUGUCCUCAAGGGCUCCAGGUGUCCCCGUGAGUGUGGUUUGUCCUCACUCUGCCUGCGGGCCUGCCAGUCCCAGAGCCAUGGCCUCCCACGGCUUCUCACCAGCCACAGCGGCCCAUCAUAAAUCCCUGGUCCCAGGCUGCUUUCAGAGGCUCUGCUUUUUCAUCAAACACUGACGGAGGCAGGAUUGUGUGCCUCUGCAUCUCCCUGUCCCGCUGGUGAGGGGUCGUUUGUAGAGAACAUAGCAAUGUGGCUUUCCUUACCGGAACGUGCUCCAUAAGAAAAGGGCGAAUUCCUUGAAAAGGUCCCUUACGGAAGAAGAUACUUAAGUAGCCAACAAGCAUGGGAAGAGGUACUCGCUCGGUUUGCACUGAACUCACGAAAUAGCACACCCACUAGAAUGGCUGAGGUUGGAAACAGUGACAAUUGUAAACAUUCACCAGGGUAAGGAGUCAGUAGAACCUGCAUCCCAGCAAUUCUCCUCCUGCGAGGGCACAAGAGGACUGAGGGCAGAUGUCCAACAAAUGGCACCCACGAGGAGCUUCAUGCUGGCUUGCUCAAACGCAAGAGAAAAAAACUGGAAAUAACCCGAAUGUCCAUCAGGGAAAAAAGAUAAAUAAAUUUUGGUACACCCGUGUAAUGGAAGAUUACAGAGUAGUUUAAAAACCGUGAAACUAAUGAGCAGUGAUAUUGAGCUUUUUAAAAUAUGUUUGUUGGCCACAUGUGUUUUCUUUUGAGAAGUGUCUGCUCGUGUCCUUUGCCCACUUUUUAAUUGGAUUAUUUAUUUUUUUCUUGUAAAUUUGCCACUAUCCUCAGCAAACUAACACGGGAACAGAAAACCAAACACCUCAUGUUCUCACUUAUACGUGGGAGCUGAACAAUGAGAACACAUGGACACAGGGAGGGGAACAACACACACACUGGGGCCUGUCAGGGGAGAGCGGGUGGCGGUGGUGGGAAGAGCAUCAGGUUAAAUAGCUAAUGCAUGCCGGGCUUAAUACCUAGGUGAUGGGUUGAUGGGUGGAGCAAACCAUCAUGGCACACAUUUACCUAUGUAACAAACCUGCACGUCCUGCACAUGGACCCCGGAAAUUAAAAUAAAAUAAAAUUUUUUUAAACCCAUGAAACUGCUGGCACACACAACAUGGAUAAAUGCCACAAAAACUUAUUUGAAUGACAGAAUUCAGGCUCAAAAGAAUAGUAACAUAUGGUUUUAUUUGUGUGAUGUUCCAAAACAGGAGAAGCUAACCGAUGAUGAUAGAAGUUAGAUCCAUGGUCACUCAGG
rnacentral:lncRNA from 10 species